CAGUAGCCGCGGUAAUACGAAGGGGGCUAGCGUUGUUCGGAAUUACUGGGCGUAAAGCGCACGCAGGCGGCUCGAUAAAUUAGAAGUGAAAGCCUUGGGCUUAACCUGAGAAUUGCUUUUAAGACUGUCGAGCUAGAAUCCAGAAGAGGGUAGUGGAAUUCCGAGUGCAGAGGUGAAAUUCGUAGAUAUUCGGAAGAACACCAGUGGCGAAGGCGACUACCUGGUCUGGCAUUGACGCUCAUGUGCGAAAGCGUGGGGAGCAAACAGGAUUAGAUACCCCAGUAGUCCCUGUCUCUUAUAC
rnacentral:rRNA from 1 species